GAAUUUAAAUUAAAUUUCAGAGGGUUCACAGGCUUGAUUUCUUCUUCUCUUGUUUUUUUUUUUUCCCUUUUUAGGAAAAUGGUCUCAGAGACUUGAUGUAUUCGGUCGCUUCGAGUCCUUCCUACUCCAGAGCCAAUUCCACAAGCUGUUUCUGGGAAAUGCAGGGAGCAGAGCCUCACCCAGACCCGCUGAAGCCUGAAGGGUGGCAGAACAACCAAGGGCCUCCCUAGUGAUUCUGGAAUCAUGAAGACUGCACAGCCUUCCCUACUGACUCCAUCCAUGCUAGUGGGGCUAGAGUCAUGUCUUGCUUACUAAAAAGCAUGAGCUCUUCAUUAUGCCAGGCAUUAUGCUGUGUGCCGGGGAUUUAGAGCAGAUAUUUGCUGGGUUGCUACCUGUGCCAGGGCCUGGCUAAGCUCUAAGGAUGCAGCAGUGACUAGGACCAGCCAGAUCCCCGCCCUGUGGAAGAUGAAAGUCUCAUGGAGGAAGGCAAAAGCUAAUCAGCUAAUUACACAGGUGGAAAAAGGAUUGGAGAAGCACUAAUGGAUGUGAGGACACAGGAGGGAAGGUGAGAGGUGACGGCUCACAGCAUCUUCGCCCUUCUGAUCAACCUCGCCUUUCUCUUGCCUGAAUCCUUGAGGGCA